GACUGCACCAAUUAAAUAAAUAAAUAAACAUUAUUUAAAAUGUUACAGUCCCUGAGGGAACCUGAAAGUUUGAACUGGAAACAUCUAGAACCUUCUUGGUUUUGGGUUCCUUUACAUCUGUGGAGGACUCAACAGAAACGAGUGCCUUUUCACGGCCGAGUGUUUCGACCCUCAUUACGAUCAGUGGACGCGAAUCGAACCGAUGCCCAUCCAAAGCAGUGUCGUGGGCAUCAUCGCUCUGAACAACCGAGUGUUUGCGAUGGUUGUGAUGGAGCCAACGUUCUGCAGAGCGUCGAAGCCUACAACCCUCAUACCAACUCCUGGAGAAUGCUUGCCUCCAUGUUUAACCCAUGAAGGAACUUUGGCGUCGAGGUGAUGGACGGCCGCUUGUACGUGGUUGGCGGCUACAGCGACGAAAGCACCACAUCCAACUGCGAGUACUACGACGAAGAGAGCGAUGACUGGUUCAACGUCCAGGACAUGAAUAUCGUCCGCGGUGCGGUGAGCUGCUGUGUGAUAUCCGGGCUUCCCAACGUCACCGACUACACCGUCAUGUACAAUGACCUUCUCUAGACACGGAGCUUUUAAAACGCUAUUAAACCACAUCCCAUUGGCAGAA